rnacentral:rRNA from 1 species
AAAAGUCGUAACAAGGUCUCCGUUGGUGAACCAGCGGAGGGAUCAUUACUGAGUUUACGCUCUACAACCCUUUGUGAACAUACCUAUAACUGUUGCUUCGGCGGGUAGGGUCUCCGCGACCCUCCCGGCCUCCCGCCUCCGGGCGGGUCGGCGCCCGCCGGAGGAUAACCAAACUCUGAUUUAACGACGUUUCUUCUGAGUGGUACAAGCAAAUAAUCAAAACUUUUAACAACGGAUCUCUUGGUUCUGGCAUCGAUGAAGAACGCAGCGAAAUGCGAUAAGUAAUGUGAAUUGCAGAAUUCAGUGAAUCAUCGAAUCUUUGAACGCACAUUGCGCCCGCCAGCAUUCUGGCGGGCAUGCCUGUUCGAGCGUCAUUUCAACCCUCAAGCUCUGCUUGGUGUUGGGGCCCUACAGCCGAUGUAGGCCCUCAAAGGUAGUGGCGGACCCUCCCGGAGCCUCCUUUGCGUAGUAACUUUACGUCUCGCACUGGGAUCCGGAGGGACUCUUGCCGUAAAACCCCCCAAUUUUCCAAAGGUUGACCUCGGAUCAGGUAGGAAUACCCGCUGAACUUAAGCAUAUCA